UCUCCGUAGGUGAACCAGCGGAGGGAUCAUUACAGAGUUCUCGCCCUCACGGGUAGAUCUCCCACCCACUGUUAUCGUUACUGUCGUUUCUUUGGCGGGCCGCCGGGUCCCCGGCCGCCGGCGCCUAGCUGCCGGCGCGCGCCCGCCAGAGGCCUUCAAACUCUGAAUGUUAGUGUCGUCUGAGUACUAUAUAAUAGUUAAAACUUUCAACAACGGAUCUCUUGGUUCUG
rnacentral:misc_RNA from 1 species